rnacentral:rRNA from 1 species
UGGCGGCGUGCCUAAUACAUGCAAGUCGAGCGAACGGACGAGAAGCUUGCUUCUCUGAUGUUAGCGGUGGACGGGUGAGUAACACGUGGAUAACCUACCUAUAGGACUGGGAUAACUUCGGGAAACCGGAGCUAAUACCGGAUAAUAUUUUGAACCGCAUGGUUCAAAAGUGAAAGACGGUCUUGCUGUCACUUAUAGAUGGAUCCGCGCUGCAUUAGCUAGUUGGUAAGGUAACGGCUUACCAAGGCAACGAUGCAUAGCCGACCUGAGAGGGUGAUCGGCCACACUGGAACUGAGACACGGUCCAGACUCCUACGGGAGGCAGCAGUAGGGAAUCUUCCGCAAUGGGCGAAAGCCUGACGGAGCAACGCCGCGUGAGUGAUGAAGGUCUUCGGAUCGUAAAACUCUGUUAUUAGGGAAGAACAUAUGUGUAAGUAACUGUGCACAUCUUGACGGUACCUAAUCAGAAAGCCACGGCUAACUACGUGCCAGCAGCCGCGGUAAUACGUAGGUGGCAAGCGUUAUCCGGAAUUAUUGGGCGUAAAGCGCGCGUAGGCGGUUUUUUAAGUCUGAUGUGAAAGCCCACGGCUCAACCGUGGAGGGUCAUUGGAAACUGGAAAACUUGAGUGCAGAAGAGGAAAGUGGAAUUCCAUGUGUAGCGGUGAAAUGCGCAGAGAUAUGGAGGAACACCAGUGGCGAAGGCGACUUUCUGGUCUGUAACUGACGCUGAUGUGCGAAAGCG